AUUGAACGCUGGCGGCAUGCCUUACACAUGCAAGUCGAACGCGAAAGUGGGGGCAACCCUGCGAGUAGAGUGGCGAACGGGUGAGUAAUACAUCGGAACGUACCCAGGAGUGGGGGACAACCUCGAGAAAUCGAGGCUAAUACCGCAUACGUCCUGGGGGAGAAAGCGGGGGAUCUGCAAGGACCUCGCGCUCAUGGAGCGGCCGAUGUCGGAUUAGCUAGUUGGCGGGGUAAAGGCCCACCAAGGCGACGAUCCGUAGCUGGUUUGAGAGAACGACCAGCCACACUGGGACUGAGACACGGCCCAGCAUCCUACGGGAGGCAGCAGUGGGGAAUUUUGGACAAUGGGCGAAAGCCUGAUCCAGCCAUGCCGCGUGAGUGAAGAAGGCCUUCGGGUUGUAAAGCUCUUUCGGCCGGAACGAAAUCGGGUGCGUGAAUAACGUAUCUGGAUGACGGUACUGGAAGAAGAAGCACCGGCUAACUACGUGCCAGCCGCCGCAGUAA
rnacentral:rRNA from 1 species